rnacentral:tmRNA from 1 species
GGGGUUGUUUAGACUCGACAGGUUGUACUUUCAAAAUAGGCAAGCCGACCUUGAGGACAUGGUCGUAAAUCUCGUUCUCACGAUGAUAAAUGCAAACUUCAUCACAAAGACCAAGAAUGCACUCGCGCAAGCGUUUGCCCCUUCUUACAGUCUUGCGCUCGCCUAAUUACUGGCGACGCCAUCAGUAUCCUGAUUCUCGGUAGGGAACCACUGGUGUCAUAAUAUCGAGACGUGACGGAAGAAUUUCUUUUUCUUUUACUCCCCGAUCGUAUUGCAAAAGAAAAACUCGCCAGAGGGUUUUGUCUCCUUUCGACCUUUGGCCCGUACAAAAAGUUGACUACGCUUGUAGAUUAUUUUGGAAAAACUUCUCUGGACAUGGGUGCAAUUCCCAUCAACUCCACAU